CAACUGCCGUUGUAACCGUCGGCCGCCGCGUGACCUCUGCCCAGUUCCGCCGCGCAACACCUGUCUCCGUCGAAGCCAAGCCAGCCGCCAUCCAUUCCUUUCCUUUCUCCUCUGUUUUCAGCACUGUCGCGCGACCGCUAACCGACCCACAUUUAGGAUUUUUGCUGCGAGUUCGACAUUCGUGCGUUGAGGUGUUGGGAGUAUCGUUAGACUCCCUUACAUUCACAAUCAGUUUGUGAAUUGUUGAGGGUUCAGUUCGCCAAUAUUUCGGAUUGUUUCGAGGACGUUAGUUGAUUAAGAAGCUUCCCCAACUUUGAGGUAAGGGACUUUCUACUGGACUCACCUAAAGUUUUUGAGUUGUGUUGGACUGUAUGGAUGAUGAUUAAGAUGUACAUGUUUGGUUGCAGACUAAAUGUUUAGUGUAUGUUGUAUUUGACUGGAAACAUAUAUAUA